rnacentral:rRNA from 1 species
CGAAUAACUUGGUGACUCUGAAUAACUUUACGCUGAUCGCANGGUCUUGCACCGGCGACGCAUCUUUCAAAUGUCUGCCUUAUCAACUGUCGAUGGUAGGUUCUGCGCCUACCAUGGUYGUAACGGGUAACGGGGAAUCAGGGUUCGAUUCCGGAGAGGGAGCCUGAGAAACGGCUACCACAUCCAAGGAAGGCAGCAGGCGCGCAAAUUACCCACUCCCGGCACGGGGAGGUAGUGACGAAAAAUAACGAUACGGGACUCAUCCGAGGCCCCGUAAUCGGAAUGAGUACACUCUAAACCCUUUAACGAGGAUCAAUUGGAGGGCAAGUCUGGUGCCAGCAGCCGCGGUAAUUCCAGCUCCAAUAGCGUAUAUUAAAGUUGUUGCGGUUAAAAAGCUCGUAGUCGAAUUUGUGUCCCGCGCCGCCGGUUCAUCGUCCGCGGUGUCAACUGGCGUGUCGCGGGACGUCCUGCCGGUGGGCUUAGCCUUUCGGGGCGACGCCCAACUCAAUCCCGCCGCGGUGCUCUUCACUGAGUGUCGAGGUGGGCCGGCACGUUUACUUUGAACAAAUUAGAGUGCUUAAAGCAGGCUAAAAUUUCGCCUGAAUACUGUGUGCAUGGAAUAAUGGAAUAGGACCUCGGUUCUAUUUUGUUGGUUUUCGGAACCCCGAGGUAAUGAUUAAUAGGAACGGAUGGGGGCAUUCGUAUUGCGACGUUAGA